rnacentral:misc_RNA from 1 species
GGCCAGCAUGAAUAAAGAAGCCAACAAUCCGGGAGAACUCCUUCCCAACCCUGAGUGUCAAAUCCAAGGACGGUGUACUGAGGAACGUCGAGGAAAAGAAGUCUAGCUCUAUCUCUAUGGUUCACGAACUCCAGCGCCGUUUCGGGAUCCAUGGUUUUGUUUUUGGUGUUACUAGUUGUAAAGGAAGGAAGGAGUAGAGAGCGGGGAGAGAGAGUUCCG